rnacentral:rRNA from 1 species
AACAGGGAUUGCCUAGUAACGGCGAGUGAAGCGGCAACAGCUCAAAUUUGAAAUCUGGCGUCUUCGGCGUCCGAGUUGUAAUUUGCAGAGGGCGCUUUGGCAUUGGCAGCGGUCCAAGUUCCUUGGAACAGGACGUCACAGAGGGUGAGAAUCCCGUACGUGGUCGCUAGCCUUUACCGUGUAAAGCCCCUUCGACGAGUCGAGUUGUUUGGGAAUGCAGCUCUAAAUGGGAGGUAAAUUUCUUCUAAAGCUAAAUACUGGCCAGAGACCGAUAGCGCACAAGUAGAGUGAUCGAAAGAUGAAAAGCACUUUGGAAAGAGAGUUAAAAAGCACGUGAAAUUGUUGAAAGGGAAGCGCUUGCAGCCAGACUUGCCUGUAGUUGCUCAUCCGGGUUUUUACCCGGUGCACUCUUCUAUAGGCAGGCCAGCAUCAGUUUGGGCGGUUGGAUAAAGGUCUCUGUCAUGUACCUCUCUUCGGGGAGAACUUAUAGGGGAGACGACAUGCAACCAGCCUGGACUGAGGUCCGCGCAUCUGCUAGGAUGCUGGCGUAAUGGCUGUAAGCGGCCCGUCUUGAAACACGGACCAAGGAGUCUAACAUCUAUGCGAGUGUUUGGGUGUCAAGCCCGAGCGCGUAAUGAAAGUGAACGGAGGUGGGAACCUUUCGGGGUGCACCAUCGACCGAUCCUGAUGUCUUCGGAUGGAUUUGAGUAAGAGCAUAGCUGUUGGGACCCGAAAGAUGGUGAACUAUGCUUGAAUAGGGUGAAGCCAGAGGAAACUCUGGUGGAGGCUCGCAGCGGUUCUGACGUGCAAAUCGAUCGUCAAA